rnacentral:rRNA from 1 species
AUUGAACGCUGGCGGCAUGCCUUACACAUGCCAGUCGAACGGCAGCACGGGUGCUUGCACCUGGUGGCGAGUGGCGAACGGGUGAGUAAUACAUCGGAACAUGUCCUGUAGUGGGGGAUAGCCCGGCGAAAGCCGGAUUAAUACCGCAUACGAUCUACGGAUGAAAGCGGGGGACCUUCGGGCCUCGCGCUAUAGGGUUGGCCGAUGGCUGAUUAGCUAGUUGGUGGGGUAAAGGCCUACCAAGGCGACGAUCAGUAGCUGGUCUGAGAGGACGACCAGCCACACUGGGACUGAGACACGGCCCAGACUCCUACGGGAGGCAGCAGUGGGGAAUUUUGGACAAUGGGCGAAAGCCUGAUCCAGCAAUGCCGCGUGUGUGAAGAAGGCCUUCGGGUUGUAAAGCACUUUUGUCCGGAAAGAAAUCCUUGGCCCUAAUACGGUCGGGGGAUGACGGUACCGGAAGAAUAAGCACCGGCUAACUACGUGC